GGCCCAGAGGCGCUCGCCUGUCCCUGGAGAGCCCCCUUGCUUCGAUAUGGUACACUACGCCCCACACGGUGGAGUCGGAGACUUGGAUGAUUUCCCGGGGAUGGCUCUUCGACUCCAGAGCCAAAUAACCACGUAAGAAGAUGAGAACCUUGGGAAUAAGCUUUGUUGGAGAAAGUCUCACCCAUGUCCAGAGCUUCGAGGUUUCCUAGGGAUACACUAGCGGAUAUUUCCAAAAGAGUCUUUUUGACAGACUUCCUUAUAUCACUGCUCUGCCCUGUCCGCGUCAGUGAGCUGCCGCGUUUCCACUUUUCACCACAAGAUGGCAGUGUACCGCAGAAGAAUAGGUGUUCCCAGCAGUCUCCGUAUCUACUCCAAGGGAUUCCCAAACCUGGGCUUUUGGGGCAAAAUUCAAAGUGCUCUCUUGUAUUUAAGGCCUGGAGCUUGAGUUGGAACCAUCACGGGGACACCAGGGCAGCCAGCUG
rnacentral:lncRNA from 1 species